rnacentral:ncRNA from 1 species
GCAGCCAGAUGUCGAAAAAGAGACUCUUUUUGGCAGAAAGUCGGAGAUGAGUACCGACUGUACACUUGUAAAUUGCGGGAAACUCCUAAAGCCUACUCCCACCGCGGUCUUAAGGGUGACCUUGAGAUGCAGCAGACAGGGUAACGCCUGUUGGAUGGUAAAAGUGGAGAGGAUUGGCCUCGAACACGCCCUUCGAGAAAUGCCUGAAUGGACAAUCCGCAGCCAAGCUGCUCUCUUGCCAGACAAGAGGCAGAAGGUUCAGAGACUAUAAUCAGGUGGGCUGUUGCGGGUGGGCUGGUUCCCACUCGUGAUGGCUUGAGGUAUAGUCCACUCCCACCCGAAAGGGUGCU